GGCAGUGUGGUUCAGUGGUUAAAGUGCCAGGCUUAGGACCUGGAAGGCCAGGGCUCAAAUUCUCACCCAGCCA